GCUUAGCCCUAAACCUAAAUAGCCAGACAACGACGCUACUCGCCAGAGUACUACUAGCAAUAGCUUAAAACUCAAAGGACUUGGCGGUGCUUUACAUCCCUCUAGAGGAGCCUGUUCUGUAAUCGAUAAACCCCGAUAAACCUCACCAACUCUUGCUAAUACAGCCUAUAUACCGCCAUCUUCAGCAAACCCUAAAAAGGAAACAAAGUAAGCAAAAACACAAAACAUAAAAACGUUAGGUCAAGGUGUAGCCUAUGAGUUGGAAAGAAAUGGGCUACAUUUUCUAGCAUAGAACAUCAACGAAAAUUUUCGUGAAACCGAAAAUAGAAGGAGGAUUUAGUAGUAAAUUAAGAAUAGAGAGCUUAAUUGAAUCAGGCCAUGAAGCAC
rnacentral:rRNA from 1 species